UUUCCGUUGGUGAACCAGCGGAAGGAUCAUUACAGAGAUCCUGCCCCUCGCGGGUAGACCUCCCACCCUGUGUUAUUACGAUUGUUGCUUUGGCAGGCCGCCUUCGGGCUCCCGGCUUCGGCUGGGGUGUGCCUGCCAGAGGACCCCAACUCUUUUGGUUAUAUGUCGUCUGAGCACUAUAUAAUAAGUUAAAACUUUCAACAACGGAUCUCUUGGUUCUGGCAUCGAUGAAGAACGCAGC
rnacentral:misc_RNA from 1 species